UAUUAGGUUGGUGCAAAAGUAAUUGCGGUUUCUGCCAUUACUUUCAAAUGACACAAACCGCAUUUACUUUUGCACCAACUUAAUAC
rnacentral:miRNA from 1 species